UUGACUUGUUUCCUUCUGCCCCAACCACUGCCCGGCAGCCUAAGGACUCGGAGACUGCUGUGGAUUGAGCACUAGGCACAACCAGAGAUAAAAGGAGAGAUGUCUGUUUAAUCCGAGGAUCCGAGCGCCGCAGAUGAGUGUUGGCCGCAGAGCAAGCGGUCUGUGCCCAACAUCUGGUGGGAGAAGUAGAGAUGAAAGCAGAGGUACAGCUUUAUACAAAGCUUGGGAACAGGAAGGAAGAAGCACACAACUGCCUGGAGAGGUCCUAGGAGCCUGCAUGGAGAAGGCAGUCUCUGCUAAGCUUUGGAAUUGUCCCUCUUGUAUUAGCAGAUAAGAAGUUACCAUACCAAAGCCUCCACGUGAGCUUUGCCUGAAAGGGAACAGGGCUGUGAUUAUUUAAGAGCUGACCAGAGCAGGCACACAGAUGCUGCCUGCUCUAGGUGGUCAUCUGGAGAAGCUGCACUUUCCAGGGACUCUGGCUUUCUUCAAAUAUCUUUGGAAUGCUCUUUGUGGAAAUGCCUCUGGAGCCUACAGCACAUUCUUCUGGACCUCCUCAGCACUGGAACAUCUCGUUCCUUUGGGGAUUUGAUAGUUGGGAACAGCAGAGAAUCAUUUGGAUGCAGGUCUGGAGGACAAGGACAAUGACCGUGCUGCAUAAUAGUUGCUGUUGAAAUCUGGGAGAAGGUGUGUGCACGCUAACAUAGGGCAGGAGUUCUCACCCUGGAGUGUGGAAGUUUUGAGUGUAUGUGUUCUUUUCUGAGGGAUCAUGUCUUUAGACGUAUCAGAUUCCCCAAGGACUUCAUGAUUCAAAAAGGAUUAACAACCACUGCUAUAGACUUGGGAGAUCAUUUCUUCUAUUGCUUGUAAACUGGCUCUGAAGAAAAAUCAUUUGUUAGGAGAGCAGAGGAAAGGAUUCAGCUUUGCCUAUAAUUUGAUACGUGUUCUCAGUGAGCUCCAAAGCUCCCAGAGCCUCAAGUGUCCCCACAUACAAAGUGGAAGGUAGAACUGGGUGGGUGGUGUCUAUGGUCCUGUCUUGCUCUGACUGUGGCUCCAUGAAAUUCCAACAGAGGAAUUUCAGAAAUGUUUUUUAAAAAUAGUGGAAUCCCUGGAGAAGGCAUGUAAUGCAAACUUCCCAGGUAACACAGACGACAGCCCUCAUUUGGAUAUAUCUCAUCGUGCUUGUUAGAAGUCAGCCUUCUGGUGUCAGAACCAGCAAUAUGGUGACAUUCAACAGGCCAGAUUAGAGAGGGAAGGUAGAGGCUCAGAAACCCAGCAAAAUUUGCUUAGAAUAGUACCAAUGGAUGGGGAAUAUCUUGUCAAGAAGACGGAGCCUGGAAAGAGGGAAGAGUGUGCUGGAGUGUCAUACUGCCGGGGACAGGGACCGGCCAGACAGGUCGUAGAAGAGGCCAGAAACAAGGAUUCUGCCUUAAGAGUGAAGGUUCUGGUAGAGGAUUCAUUCUCCAUAAAGGCCAAUUGGAGCAAACAGAAGAAUUCAAGCAAGAGAACUAUUUGGCUGGGACUAAAUCCCAAGCCAGGAGCCCCAUUCUAGGAACUGGGAUACACGGUGACCUCAGACUAGGCCAGAAGCCAUGGUCCUCAGGAUUGGUCCCAGAGCCUGCAGCUAAAGACUCUGACUCCCGCUGUGGGCACAGGGGACCCUGGGGGCAAUCUAGAGUCAGGGGAAAGCUGAGGAGCCAGUCAUUGAGAGUCACCACCAGCUGUAGGUUCAUUCUUCCUUCCCUCCCUCCUUUCCUUCCUUCCCUAUUUCCCUUCAUUUUUCCCUCCCACCUUCCCCUUCUUCCUUUCUUUUUUUUCUUCCUUCCUCCCUUCCUGCCUUCAUGUUCCACAGGGAGAAGAGAAUUUCAAAACCUCUGCCCCAAAAGGCAGAAGUAUGGAGGAACUUCCACACCUGGAGGGAAGGCAAGACUGGCCCGACUGGUGACUUUGCCCUGCCUCUUUGCUCUUGUGUCCUUUAAGGGGCCAGCCUGUCCACAGGUCACUUGCAUGCUGGUCUGCACUGUGGUGAGUGUGGCCAAGCAGGUUUUACCAUGCACGGGGAAGCCAGUGGUUUUUUAGGGUAAGCAAAGAUCAGGAAGGGCAUUUCAGAAAGCCCAUUUGGCUACAAGUCAAGUCACGCUGUCCAGGUCAGCUUUGUCAAUAAAUAAAGCUGAUAUUUUGAUCUCUA